rnacentral:rRNA from 1 species
GAUGAACGCUGGCGGCGUGCCUAAUACAUGCAAGUCGAGCGAACAGACGAGGAGCUUGCUCCUCUGACGUUAGCGGCGGACGGGUGAGUAACACGUGGAUAACCUACCUAUAAGACUGGGAUAACUUCGGGAAACCGGAGCUAAUACCGGAUAAUAUAUUGAACCGCAUGGUUCAAUAGUGAAAGACGGUUUUGCUGUCACUUAUAGAUGGAUCCGCGCCGCAUUAGCUAGUUGGUAAGGUAACGGCUUACCAAGGCAACGAUGCGUAGCCGACCUGAGAGGGUGAUCGGCCAACCUGAAACUGAAACCCGGCCCAAACCCCUAGGGGGGGCCGCGGUGGGAACUCUUCCGCAAUGGGCGAAGGCCUAACGGGGCAACGCCGGGUGGGUGAUGAGGGUCUUCGGUUCGUAAAACUCUGUUAUUGGGGAAAAACAAAUGUGUAAGUAACUAUGCACGUCUUGACGGUACCUAAUCAAAAAGCCACGGCAAACUACGU